rnacentral:rRNA from 1 species
AACGAACGCUGGCGGCAUGCCUAACACAUGCAAGUCGAACGAGACCUUCGGGUCUAGUGGCGCACGGGUGCGUAACGCGUGGGAACCUGCCCUUAGGUUCGGAAUAACUCCCCGAAAGGGGUGCUAAUACCGGAUAAUGUCUUCGGACCAAAGAUUUAUCGCCUUUGGAUGGGCCCGCGUUGGAUUAGCUAGUUGGUAGGGUAAAAGCCUACCAAGGCGACGAUCCAUAGCUGGUCUGAGAGGAUGAUCAGCCACACUGGGACUGAGACACGGCCCAGACUCCUACGGGAGGCAGCAGUGGGGAAUAUUGGACAAUGGGCGAAAGCCUGAUCCAGCAAUGCCGCGUGAGUGAUGAAGGCCUUAGGGAUGUAAAGCUCUUUUACCCGGGAUGAUAAUGACAGUACCGGGAGAAUAAGCUCCGGCUAACUCCGUG